rnacentral:lncRNA from 1 species
GCCCUUUUCCCGCCGCCCUCCCGGCAGUCUACACGAUGUAAGGUCCGUUGGAUUAAGAGGGCAGUAUUAAGUAUGUCUCCCUUCCCACCACCGCCUCGAGAAGAGGCGAAACUCAAAGGGAUGCUCCCUCACCCCCUUCCUCCUUCCAAAGACGUUUCAGCCGCAAUUGGCCCGUUCCUUCGAUCUCCGACCCGCUGCUAGGGAGCGAAAGUCUGUGGAAUGGGCUACACCACCAAUGUCCCAGGAAACGGGGGAAGAUACAAGACGUCACCUCUUGCUUUAGCUGUGCAUGCCACGUUUCCUUAAUCUUGAACUUGGAGGACAGCGCUUCCUGACUAUUCACGGAACUAUUCAUAACCUAAUUCUUCCUUGAAGAUAGAAAUGCAAAAACAGUAACCUGCUUCCCCCUGGCUUCCCCCAUCUGGCGAAUGGAAAGUACCCGUCAGGGGAUGCGCAGGCGCCGUGGCGUACUCUUGCGCUGGGUUCGUCGAAACCCGCCUCCUCCAAGCCCCUCCUCUGUUUGAAUUCUCGUUUGCUGAACCAGGUAGUUUUCUACCCGGUUUCCGAAUCCCAGGGUGGAUUUCAAAGCGCUACCGAAUUAUACUCUAGACGCUUCGUAAA